GGACCGGCCUGGCGCCGGGUUGGCGACGAUCGUCGCGGGAUCGAGCAUCGGGUCGGACAUCGGUUCUACGCAGGUGCCGGGCCG
rnacentral:tRNA from 1 species